GCGGCUUAAUUUGACUCAACGCGGGGUAAUUUACCAGGUAUAACAUGAUAUAAUAUUUUAUCAUGAUAGUGGUGCAUGGCCGUUUUCAAUGGAUGCUGUGAAGUAAUGAUUAAUUUCAACAAGAUGUGAGACCCUCAUUUAGACAGAUGUAGUGAUACAUAUGAAGGAGAGGAUUAAAACAGGUCCGUUAUGCCCUAAGAUAAUCUGGGUUGCACGCGCAAUACAAUAAUAUUUGAUAUUAUAAGGGAUAAUAUAAUGUAAGAUAUAUUUGAACAUGGAAUUGCUAGUAAAUUUUAUUUAAUAAGUAGAAUUGAAUGAGUCCCUGUUCUUUGUACACACCGCCCGUCGCUAUCUAAGAUGGUAUUAUCUAUGAACAAAUUUAUAAAGUGAAUAGAUGGUACUAGAUCUGAUAUAAGUCGUAACAUGGUUGCUGUUGGAGAACCAUUAGCAGGAUCAUAA
rnacentral:rRNA from 1 species